rnacentral:rRNA from 1 species
AGCGAACGCUGGCGGCAGGCCUAACACAUGCAAGUCGAACGAACUCUUCGGAGUUAGUGGCGGACGGGUGAGUAACACGUGGGAACGUGCCUUUAGGUUCGGAAUAACUUAGGGAAACUUGAGCUAAUACCGGAUGUGCCCUUCGGGGGAAAGAUUUAUCGCCUUUAGAGCGGCCCGCGUCUGAUUAGCUAGUUGGUGAGGUAAAGGCUCACCAAGGCGACGAUCAGUAGCUGGUCUGAGAGGAUGAUCAGCCACAUUGGGACUGAGACACGGCCCAAACUCCUACGGGAGGCAGCAGUGGGGAAUCUUGCGCAAUGGGCGAAAGCCUGACGCAGCCAUGCCGCGUGAAUGAUGAAGGUCUUAGGAUUGUAAAAUUCUUUCACCGGGGACGAUAAUGACGGUACCCGGAGAAGAAGCCCCGGCUAACUUCGUG